CCCUAGCCCUGAUAGAAGUGGAAAUCCUUUUGUGCUGGGGUUCGGCACAAAAGAUUGAAACGAAUAGCAGGAUUAGCU
rnacentral:sRNA from 1 species